AUGAGGGAGAAAGAAAAGGGAAAAAAAAAAGGGGAAAUGAUCAUUUACCCGAUUUUAGGCUAAAAAUUGCCCACUUGCUCCACCAACUGUUUUUUAACCCCAUUUACCCAAAACACUCUAAGGGAUUAUUUCCCCUUUACCCAAUUAAUUCUUUUUUAUUUUUUUUGAGACUUUUUUGCCCUCUCCUUCUUUUUCACUUAGAGGGAGAAGUCAUCCUCCACCUUGCCGGCCUCUGGUGACCAGUGGCAGGGCGCCGGCGACCGUCUACUGGGGGCCAAUAAUGUGUCUACU
rnacentral:lncRNA from 1 species